rnacentral:rRNA from 1 species
AGAGUUUGAUCCUGGCUCAGAACGAACGCUGGCGGCAGGCCUAACACAUGCAAGUCGAGCGCGCCUUUCGGGGUGAGCGGCGGACGGGUUAGUAACGCGUGGGAAUAUGCCCUUUGGUACGGAAUAGCCUCUGGAAACGGAGAGUAAUACCGUAUGAGCCCUUCGGGGGAAAGAUUUAUCGCCAAAGGAUUAGCCCGCGUUAGAUUAGGUAGUUGGUGGGGUAAUGGCCUACCAAGCCUACGAUCUAUAGCUGGUUUUAGAGGAUGAUCAGCAACACUGGGACUGAGACACGGCCCAGACUCCUACGGGAGGCAGCAGUGGGGAAUCUUGGACAAUGGGGGCAACCCUGAUCCAGCCAUGCCGCGUGAGUGAUGAAGGCCUUAGGGUCGUAAAGCUCUUUCGCCUGUGAAGAUAAUGACGGUAG